AACGGAGCUUAGAGAGCUUGCUUUUUAAGCUUAGUGGCGAACGGGUGAGUAACGCGUGAGUAACCUGCCCUAGAGUGGGGGACAACAGUUGGAAACGACUGCUAAUACCGCAUAAGCCCACGGUACCGCAUGGUACUGAGGGAAAAGGAUUUAUUCGCUUUAGGAUGGACUCGCGUCCAAUUAGCUAGUUGGUGAGGUAACGGCCCACCAAGGCGACGAUUGGUAGCCGGACUGAGAGGUUGAACGGCCACAUUGGGACUGAGACACGGCCCAGACUCCUACGGGAGGCAGCAGUGGGGGAUAUUGCACAACGGGGGAAACCCUGAUGCAGCGACGCCGCGUGGAGGAAGAAGGUUUUCGGAUUGUAAACUCCUGUCGUUAGGGACGAUAAUGACGGUACCUAACAAGAAAGCACCGGCUAACUACGUGCCAGCAGCCGCGGUAAAACGUAGGGUGCAAGCGUUGUCCGGAAUUACUGGGUGUAAAGGGAGCGCAGGCGGGAAGACAAGUUGGAAGUGAAAACCAUGGGCUCAACCCAUGAAUUGCUUUCAAAACUGUUUUUCUUGAGUAGUGCAGAGGUAGAUGGAAUUCCCGGUGUAGCGGUGGAAUGCGUAGAUAUCGGGAGGAACACCAGUGGCGAAGGCGGUCUACUGGGCACCAACUGACGCUGAGGCUCGAAAGCAUGGGUAGCAAACAGGAUUAGAUACCCUGGUAGUCCAUGCCGUAAACGAUGAUUACUAGGUGUUGGGGGAUUGACCCCCUCAGUGCCGCAGUUAACACAAUAAGUAAUCCACCUGGGGAGUACGACCGCAAGGUUGAAACUCAA
rnacentral:rRNA from 1 species